ACAUGCCUAUAGAAUAGCACUAAUGCACCAUAUCCCAUUAGAACUCCGCAGUUAAGCAGACUCAUGCUAGAGUAGUACUGGUAUGGGUGACCUCCCAAGAAGUCCUAGUGUUUUACAUGCC
rnacentral:rRNA from 1 species